UGGUGAACUAGAAGAAGGGGGAUUGGUCAGUUUGGUGAAUUAGCAGAAGCGGGAUUGCUCAGUUUGGUUAAUUAGAAGAAGCGGGAUUGGUCCAUUUGUUAAUUUAUAAGAACCGGGAUUAGUCGGUUUGGUGAAUUAGCAGAAGCGAGAUUAGUCAGAUUGGUGAAUAAGAAGAAGUGGUUUUGGUCAGUUUGGUAAAUUAGAAGAACCGUGAUUGGUCAAUUUGGUGAAUUAGAAGAAGUGGGUUUGGUCAGUUUGGUGAAUUAGAAGAAGCGGGUUUGGUCAGUAUGGUGAAUUAGAAGUGGGAUUGGACAGUUUGGUAAUUUAUUAGAACCGGGAUUAGUUAAUUUGGUGAAUUAGCAGAAGCUGGAUUGUUAGUUAAAGUUUCAUUAUGUAGUGCUUUUCUAGACACUCAAAGUGCUUUACAUAGUAUGGGGGGGGGAUCUCCUCAUCCACUAGUGUGUAGCAUCUACAUGGAUGAUGCAAUGGCAGCAAUAGUGUGCCAAAAUGCCCACCACACACCAGCUAUUAGCAAAGAUGAGAGGAGAGGAGAGUGAUGUAGCCUAUUCAGAGAUGGGAAAUAUUAGAGCAAUAUUAGGGCCAUGAUAGAGCAGGGCCAAUGGGGGAAUUUUGCCAGGACACCGGGGGUUGUACCCCUACUCUUUACGAUAAGUGUCCUGGGACACCUCGGUUUAACGUCUCAUCCGAAAGACAGGAUUGAUCAGUUCAGUGAAUUAGCAGGAACAGGAUUGGUCAGUUCAGUGAAUUAGCACUUCCAUUCUGACAGAUGGAGAUUUCACACACAGAGCUUUCACACCUCGUAACAGUGCACGCACACACACACACACACACACACACACACACACACCCUUUGGACAGAUCUUUCUGCAUGUCCACAACACACUCACAUUGAUGACAUUAUUAACACUAGCCAGACCUUCAACCCCGCGGUGUUCAAUACACACGAUGCUAACAGUUUUGCUGCUGUAUUGACAUUUUUAUACCCUCGUUAGUCUCCAUAAUGAGCACUGCAGAAAUAAUUCUGUGUUUAUGAGGUGUAAUGUAUGUAUUCCCUUCUGUGAAAACAAGGAUUAAUGAAAUGAAAUGGAGGAGGAAGAGGUGAUGAGGGAGGAUGAGGAGGUGAUGAAGAGUGGAUGAUGAGGCGAUGAGGGAGGAUGAGGAGGUGAUGAAGAGAGGAUGAGGAGGUGAUGAAGAGUGGAUGAGGAGGUGAUGAGAGGAUGAGGAGGUGAUGAAGGAGGAUGAGGAGGUGAUGAAGGAGGAUGAGGGGGUCGAGGUCACCCGCGGCUGAAAUGUACACAGGAAGAAAUUGUGAUGAAAGAGGAAACAUAAAACACACCAGUGUAUCAGAUUUCUCUCAUAGUCUCUCCUCUCCUGAUUGAUUUUCUCUCCAUUUUCAUUCCCAUUAUUUGUCCCCUUUUUCUAACAAUUAUCUUUCUUUUUCCCUCCGUCCUUUUCUCUGUUUUUCAACUGCUCUUUUUUCUCUCUCAUUUCAUUUGUCCUCCCUCAUUUUGAUAUCUCUUUCCCCCCUUCUCUAUCAUUCUUCCUCUUUAUAUCUCUCCCGGCUUUCUCCACCUGUCCUUUUUCUCCAUCUCCCUCCUUCACGCCCUCACUCUCUGUCUCUCUCUUUCUGUCUGUAUGUCUCUUCUUCUGUCUUCCUUUCUCUCUGUACGUGUCGCUCUCUCUCUCUCUAUGUCUGUCUCGCUCUAUUACUGUUUCUAUCUUUGUCUCUCUCUCACUUUAUCUGUCUCUCUUCCUGUCUGGCUGCCUCUUGGUCUCAGUCUUUGUCUCUAUUUCUGUCUCUAUUUGUCUCUCUGUCUGUCAGUUUCCUUUUAUUCCCUCCUUCCCUUCUCUUACCAAUUUCCUUGUUAUUUUUCCUCCCCUUUCUUCCUAUUUCUUUCACUUCCCCUCUACACUAUUCUACACUAGAUGGUAGAUUUCAUAGUGCAUAGUGUAAGUGCUUAGCACAGUUUAGCGGUUAGCACGUCUACCUCGCACCUCCAGGGCUGGGGGUUCAAUUCCCACCGCUGCUCUGUGUGUGCGGAGUUUGCAUGUUCUCCCAGUGCUACUGGGUACUCUGGUUUCCUUACCCCAGUCCAAAGACAUGUAGGCUGAUUGGCAUUUCCAAAUUGUCUGUAGAGUUUGUCCAGGGUGUCCACCACCUCAUGACUUGAGUUACUUGGGAUAAACUCCAGGAUCCACCUGAUAA
ensembl:lncRNA